rnacentral:rRNA from 1 species
AGUUGCCAGCAUUCAGUUGGGCACUCUAAGGGGACUGCCGGUGAUAAGCCGAGAGGAAGGUGGGGAUGACGUCAAGUCCUCAUGGCCCUUACGGGCUGGGCUACACACGUGCUACAAUGGUGGUGACAGUGGGCAGCGAGACCGCGAGGUCGAGCUAAUCUCCAAAAGCCAUCUCAGUUCGGAUUGCACUCUGCAACUCGAGUGCAUGAAGUUGGAAUCGCUAGUAAUCGCGGAUCAGCAUGCCGCGGUGAAUACGUUCCCGGGCCUUGUACACACCGCCCGUCACACCAUGGGAGUUGGUUUUACCCGAAGGCGCUGUGCUAACCGCAAGGAGGCAGGCGACCACGGUAGGGUCAGCGACUGGGGUGAAGUCGUAACAAGGUAGCCGUAGGGGAACCUGCGGCUGGAUCACCUCCUUUCUAAG